GAUGAAGAACGUAUCGAAAUGCGAUAACUAAUGUGAAUUGCAGAAUUCCGUGAAUCAUCGAGUCUUUGAACGCACAUUGCGCCCCCUGGUAUUCCGGGGGGCAUGCCUGUCCGAGCGUCAUUGCUGCCCAUCAAGCACGGCUUGUGUGUUGGGUCCCGUCCCCCUCUCCCGGGGGACGGACCCGAAAGGCAGCGGCGGCACCGCGUCCGGUCCUCGAGCGUAUGGGGCUUUGUCACCCGCUCUUGUAGGCCCGGCCGGCGCUUGCCGACACCCAACCAUUUUUUUCAGGUUGACCUCGGAUCAGGUAGGGAUACCCGCUGAACUUAAGCAUAUCAAUAAGCGGAGGA
rnacentral:misc_RNA from 1 species